rnacentral:rRNA from 1 species
UACGUAGGGCGCAAGCGUUGUCCGGAAUUAUUGGGCGUAAAGAGCUCGUAGGCGGUCUGUUACGUCCGCUGUGAAAACCCAGGGCUUAACCCUGGGCUUGCAGUGGAUACGGGUAGACUAGAGGCAGGUAGGGGAGAAUGGAAUUCCCGGUGUAGCGGUGAAAUGCGCAGAUAUCGGGAGGAACACCUAUGGCGAAGGCAGCUCGCUGGGACGUUACUGACGCUGAGACGCGAAAGCGUGGGGGAGCAAACAGG